AUUGAACGCUGGCGGCAUGCCUUACACAUGCAAGUCGAACGGUAACAGGUCUUCGGAUGCUGACGAGUGGCGAACGGGUGAGUAAUACAUCGGAACGUGCCUAGUAGUGGGGGAUAACUACUCGAAAGAGUGGCUAAUACCGCAUGAGAUCUACGGAUGAAAGCAGGGGAUCGCAAGACCUUGUGCUACUAGAGCGGCCGAUGGCAGAUUAGGUAGUUGGUGGGAUAAAAGCUUACCAAGCCGACGAUCUGUAGCUGGUCUGAGAGGACGAUCAGCCACACUGGGACUGAGACACGGCCAAGACUCCUACGGGAGGAAGCAGUGGGGAAUUUUGGACAAUGGGCGCAAGCCUGAUCCAGCAAUGCCGCGUGCAGGAUGAAGGCCUUCGGGUUGUAAACUGCUUUUGUACGGAACGAAAAGCCCUGGGUUAAUACCCUGGGGUCAUGACGGUACCGUAAGAAUAAGCACCGGCUAACUACGUGCCAGCAGCCGCCGUAA
rnacentral:rRNA from 1 species